GUGCUUAUAGUUCAGUGGUCAGAACUCCCGGUGGUGGGCCGGGUAACAUGGGUUCGAAUCCCAUUAAGCACCCCA
rnacentral:tRNA from 1 species